UACGUAGGGUGCAAGCGUUGUCCGGAAUUAUUGGGCGUAAAGAGCUCGUAGGCGGCUUGUCACGUCGACUGUGAAAGCCCGGGGCUUAACCCCGGGUCUGCAUUCGAUACGGGCAGGCUAGAGUGUGGUAGGGGAGAUCGGAAUUCCUGGUGUAGCGGUGAAAUGCGCAGAUAUCAGGAGGAACACCGGUGGCGAAGGCGGAUCUCUGGGCCAUUACUGACGCUGAGGAGCGAAAGCGUGGGGAGCGAACAGG
rnacentral:rRNA from 1 species